UCUCACCCCUCAGAAAACUGCCUGGUUUUCCUGCCUCCAGAGCCUUCUAUUUCUGUUCCACAUUAUUCAUCUUCUAAAUAUGCACAACACUCCCUUGCUCCCCACCAUCACACACACACACACAAAAAAAAAAAAAAAUAGAGAGAGAAAAGAAAAGAAAACCUCCUCUAUACUUAUUUAUUUAUAACUCUAAUUUUAAAAGGACCAGAGUUAUGAAAUUAUGAAAGGGAUGUUCACAUUUCACAGAAAUGUUAUCCUAAGGAAUGAGGGACAAUUAUUCCUAGGAAAAGGGGCCAAUGCCAGAUCAUUUCCUAGAGUUAUUGCGUCUUAUCCGUCAGUGUUGUAAUGGUUUUUGUGGGAGCAAUUUAAAAAGGUUUUUCUUCUGCUCUCUGCCAAAUAUGUCUCCAUCUGCCUAAUUCUGCUGUGAGGGUCUCCGUUUAACCUCAGGACUCUGGUUAUUUUCAUGCCAAAAAUCUACACCCAAAGUCUGUUUCCUCUUUACCAGAAUGAUGAACAUUUCAUGGAAAGGCUUGGCAAAUAUGAAGCUGAAAUAUAGGCUAAGUGACGAGGGCCAUGUUGUGAUUUUUGUGGGCAGAAGGCACUUUGCCUUCUUGGACCUUUUCCUCCAUUAAGAAAAUG
rnacentral:lncRNA from 1 species